CUUGAUCAAUUAUAAGAGGUCAAGCCUGCCCAGUGACAUUGUUCAACGGCCGCGGUAUCCUAACCGUGCGAAGGUAGCGUAAUCACUUGUCCUUUAAAUAAGGACUAGUAUGAACGGCUUCACGAAGGCUAUACUGUCUCCUUAAUCUAAUCAAUUAAACUAAUCUCCCCGUGAAGAAGCGGGGAUUCGUCUAUAAGACGAGAAGACCCUAUGGAGCUUUAAACAUCUAAGACACUUGAUUAUAUCUACUAAACUUCAUGCAACCUAUCAUUUUGUCUUAAGUUUUAGGUUGGGGUGACCACGGAGAAAAAUUAAACCUCCACAUAGAAAGAAAAUUCUUUUCUAAGCAAAAAGCCACAUCUUAACGCAUCAAUAUAUUGACUUAAAUUGACCCA
rnacentral:rRNA from 1 species